rnacentral:rRNA from 1 species
AUAACGGCGUCGAGCGGCGGACGGGUGAGUAAUGCCUAGGAAAUUGCCUUGAUGUGGGGGAUAACCAUUGGAAACGAUGGCUAAUACCGCAUAAUGCCUACGGGCCAAAGAGGGGGACCUUCGGGCCUCUCGCGUCAAGAUAUGCCUAGGUGGGAUUAGCUAGUUGGUGAGGUAAUGGCUCACCAAGGCGACGAUCCCUAGCUGGUCUGAGAGGAUGAUCAGCCACACUGGAACUGAGACACGGUCCAGACUCCUACGGGAGGCAGCAGUGGGGAAUAUUGCACAAUGGGCGAAAGCCUGAUGCAGCCAUGCCGCGUGUAUGAAGAAGGCCUUCGGGUUGUAAAGUACUUUCAGUUGUGAGGAAGGGGGUGUCGUUAAUAGCGGCAUCUCUUGACGUUAGCAACAGAAGAAGCACCGGCUAACUCCGUGCCAGCAGCCGCGGUAAUACGGAGGGUGCGAGCGUUAAUCGGAAUUACUGGGCGUAAAGCGCAUGCGGGUGGUUCAUUAAGUCAGAUGUGAAAGCCCGGGGCUCAACCUCGGAACUGCAUUUGAAACUGGUGAACUAGAGUACUGUAGAGGGGGGUAGAAUUUCAGGUGUAGCGGUGAAAUGCGUAGAGAU